rnacentral:rRNA from 1 species
UGCGCCUACGGGAGGCAGCAGUGGGAAAUAUUGGGCAAUAGGCGCAAGCCUGACCCAGCAACGCCGCGUGAAGGAAGAAGGCUGUCGGGUUGUAAACUUCUUUUCUCAGGGACGAAGCAAGUGACGGUACCUGAGGAAUAAGCCACGGCUAACUACGUGCCAGCAGCCGCGGUAAUACGUAGGUGACAAGCGUUAUCCGGAUUUACUGGGUGUAAAGGGCGUGUAGGCGGGACUGCAAGUCAGAUGUGAAAACCACGGGCUCAACCUGUGGCCUGCAUUUGAAACUGUAGUUCUUGAGGGCUGGG